UACGUAGGGUGCGAGCGUUGUCCGGAAUUCUUGGGCGUAAAGAGCUCGUAGGCGGUGUGUCACGUCGGCCGUGAAAACCUGCAGCUUAACUGUGGGCGUGCGGUCGAUACGGGCAUCACUGGAGUUCGGCAGGGGAGACUGGAAUUCCUGGUGUAGCGGUGAAAUGCGCAGAUAUCAGGAGGAACACCGGUGGCGAAGGCGGGUCUCUGGGCCGAUACUGACGCUGAGGAGCGAAAGCGUGGGGAGCGAACAGG
rnacentral:rRNA from 1 species